UAACGAGGCGAACCGGGGGAACUGAAACAUCUAAGUACCCCGAGGAAAAGAAAUCAACCGAGAUUCCCCCAGUAGCGGCGAGCGAACGGGGAGGAGCCCAGAGCCUGAAUCAGCUUGUGUGUUAGUGGAAGCGUCUGGAAAGUCGCACGGUACAGGGUGAAAGUCCCGUACACGAAAACGCACAGGCUGUGAGCUCGAUGAGUAGGGCGGGACACGUGGUAUCCUGUCUGAAUAUGGGGGGACCAUCCUCCAAGGCUAAAUACUCCUGACUGACCGAUAGUGAACCAGUACCGUGAGGGAAAGGCGAAAAGAACCCCGGCGAGGGGAGUGAAAAAGAACCUGAAACCGUGUACGUACAAGCAGUGGGAGCCUCUUU
rnacentral:rRNA from 2 species